UUCAAAUUUUUAUUUAUAUUUAAUUUUAAUAAUGAGUUUUAAUUUGAACUUUAAAUUUAAAUUUAAAAUUUUACUUUAAAUUACGAGUAUAAGUCGUUUGUUUAUAUUUUCACAUCUUUAAAUAUAAUUAAAGAAUCAAAAUUAUAAAAUUAUAGUUUUCAUGUUUUACUUUAUAGCCAAUAAAACAAUCGAAUUAAAAAGUUAGCUUUUAUAAAAGUCACAUUUACAAAAAAAUAAAUUUUUAUUUUUUGAGAAAAAGGUAGCACGCUACUCGCUUCAUUCAUUCAGGAUAUGAACUUAGUUACAUAGGUGAGGCAACAAGGCCUCUAAAGAGAUGAAAAGUCGGACAAAGACAAAAAUAAAAAUAAAAAUAAAAAUAAAAUAAUAAUAAUAAUAAAAAUAAAAAUAAAAAAAAAUUAUUGUCUCUCUAUAGGGUGAAGUUUUCUCCACAAAGACGUCGGCCGUUUAACUUUAUGCCCAAAGAGAAAAAAAA
rnacentral:lncRNA from 1 species